GGUGGCGGAACGGGUGAGUAAUAUAUCGGGAACGUCGCCCAGUCGGUGGGGGGAAUAAACGGUAGACGAAAGUUACGCUAAUACCCGCAUACGAUCUAAGGAUGAAAGCGGGGGACUCGCAAGAGCCUCGCGCGAUUGGAGCGGCCGAUAUCAGAUUAGGUAGUUGGGUGGGGUAAAGGCUCACCAAGCCAACGAUCUAUAGCUGGUCUGAGAGGACGACCAGCCACACUGGAACUGAGACACGGUCCAGACUCCUACGGGAGGCAGCAGUGGGAAUUUGGACAAUGGACGCAAGUCUGAUCCAGCCAUUCCGCGUGCAGGAUGAAGGCCCUCGGGUUGUAAACUGCUUUUGUACGGAACGAAAAGGUUUCUAUUAAUACUAGGAGCUCAUGACGGUACCGUAAGAAUAAGCACCGGCUAACUACGUG
rnacentral:rRNA from 1 species